AGGGUUCGAUUCUGGCUCAGGAUGAACGCUAGCUACAGGCUUAACACAUGCAAGUCGAGGGGCAGCAUUGGAGUAGCAAUACUUCAGAUGGCGACCGGCGCACGGGUGAGUAACACGUAUCCAACCUGCCGCUUACUCGGGGAUAGCCUUUCGAAAGAAGGAUUAAUACCCGAUGGUAUAAAGAGUUCGCAUGUUCUCUUUAUUAAAGAAUUUCGGUAAGCGAUGGGGAUGCGUUCCAUUAGAUAGUUGGCGGGGUAACGGCCCACCAAGUCUACGAUGGAUAGGGGUUCUGAGAGGAAGGUCCCCCACAUUGGAACUGAGACACGGUCCAAACUCCUACGGGAGGCAGCAGUGAGGAAUAUUGGUCAAUGGACGCGAGUCUGAACCAGCCAAGUAGCGUGAAGGAUGACUGCCCUAUGCGUUGUAAACUUCUUUUAUAAGGGAAUAAAGUGAGGGACGUGUCCCUUUUGUAUGUACCUUAUGAAUAAGGAUCGGCUAACUCCGUGCCAGCCGCGGC
rnacentral:rRNA from 1 species